AGCUUUGCGCAGUGGCAGUAUCGUAGCCAAUGAGGUUUAUCCGAGGCGCGAUUAUUGCUAAUUGAAAACAAAUAAGCUUGUCAACCAGAGUCUUUCAAAUAAUCAACUUCAGUUAGAUAUCAAAAAUUUUUUCCCCAAAUCCACCAGUUU
ensembl:snRNA U4 U4 spliceosomal RNA